UGUUCUGUGACUUAGUAGGUUGAAGCGCCGGACUAGCGAUAAGUAGUCGUGGGUUCGAGUCCCAUCAAAACAA
rnacentral:tRNA from 1 species